GUCCAUCUGUUUUCUUUUUUAUACUUUCUUAUUAUUUUUUACUAAACUUUUGUAUAAUUAUUACGUAUUUACGCUUUAAUUUCAUUAUGUAUUAAUGUUUUAUUACAUUCUUUAAAGUGGACCAUCACAUUUGAUAGCUAUUAUCCUGUAAAUUUCAAAAAAUGCUUGGCAAUGACUCGAAAACACGAUCUCCACCUUUUAGACUAAAAC
rnacentral:lncRNA from 1 species